rnacentral:rRNA from 1 species
AAGCGUUACUCGGAAUUACUGGGCGUAAAGCGCGCGCAGGCGGUCUGUAAAGUCGGAUGUGAAAUCCCCGGGCUCAACCUGGGAACUGCAUUCGAAUACUGACAGGCUAGAGUCUUGUAGAGGGGGGUAGAAUUCCAUGUGUAGCGGUGAAAUGCGUAGAGAUCUGGAGGAAUACCGGUGGCGAAGGCGGCCCCUGCACAAGUACUGACGCUCGAGUGCGAAAGCGUGGAGAGCAACAGGAUUAGAUACCCUGGUAGUCAACGCGUAAACGAUGCGACUGAGUUGGGGCCCAUGAGGCU